CUUAUUGGAAGGGUGCUCGCAACAGGACGGAUUUAACCAUACAGGUCAUGGUCUUAACCGGACUGUAGCUGAUGGUCGUUCAGAAAAUCUACAUAGAUUGAGGGCUCCAUAUGUUGCCGUGCUAAACCUACCUGAUCCUGACUUGCCACACGUGCGUGGAGUUGUGCCAUCUGUUCAAACCGUGUCACCUUCAGUAGAUAUAAGUCUGCAGUGCAUUCGCGCCUCUCAAAGAACGUGCCUUAGAUAAUACGGACGACAUCAUUUAAGGGCAUUUUCUUCGAAUAUGAAAAUUUCGUACCAGAAUGGAUGGAAAACCUACAAAAAACAUUAUCAUUCGGACACUUUUAAUUCAUAUUUAUUCUGUCUCUGAUGCAGAGUGGGGAUGUUAACCCACACCAAGGCCCAGCAAUUGUUUCAGACUUGACUGAACAUGGUGCACGUAAAAAAAGGGAGACAACCAAAACACCCAUGUCGUUUAUGUGGAUGGGGAGUUACCUCUCGUUCAAAAGCAAUUGACUGUGAUUCUUAUGGAGUCUGGACACACAUAAAUUGCACAGGGUUUAUAGUGCCAGUUUUAUAAAAACAGAAAUCAAAAUUAUGUAAAAUUUAAACUUCAUACCGUCAGUGAAGAAUAUACUUAUAAAGAAUUGUGUAAAUUAAAUUGUUAAAAAAAGUACAGGGUUAGAUGAUAUUCCUGCCAAAUACUUGAAAGAUGCUGCACCUUUUGUGAAAGUUCACAUUACUUUUUUAGUCAAUUGCUCUAUUUCUUCUAAUACAGCU